ensembl:tRNA
GCCUCGAUAGCUCAGUUGGGGUGAGCGUACGACUGAAAAUCGUUAGGUCACCAGUUCGAUCCUGGUUCGGGCA